rnacentral:rRNA from 1 species
UAGGGAAUCUUCGGCAAUGGGGGGAACCCUGACCGAGCAACGCCGCGUGAGUGAAGAAGGUUUUCGGAUCGUAAAGCUCUGUUGUUAAGGAAGAACGAGUGUGAGAAUGGAAAGUUCAUACUGUGACGGUACUUAACCAGAAAGGGACGGCUAACUACGUGCCAGCAGCCGCGGUAAUACGUAGGUCCCGAGCGUUGUCCGGAUUUAUUGGGCGUAAAGCGAGCGCAGGCGGUUAGAUAAGUCUGAAGUUAAAGGCAGUGGCUCAACCAUUGUAGGCUUUGGAAACUGGUUAACUUGAGUGCAGAAGGGGGGAGUGGAAUUCCAUGUGUAGCGGUGAAAUGCGUAGAUAUAUGGAGGAACACCGGUGGCGAAAGCGGCUCUCUGGUCUGUAACUGACGCUGGGGCUCGAAAGCGUGGGGAGCGAACAGG